GAUGAACGCUGGCGGCGUGCCUAAUACAUGCAAGUCGAGCGAAUGGAUUAAGAGCUUGCUCUUAUGAAGUUAGCGGCGGACGGGUGAGUAACACGUGGGUAACCUGCCCAUAAGACUGGGAUAACUCCGGGAAACCGGGGCUAAUACCGGAUAACAUUUUGAACCGCAUGGUUCGAAAUUGAAAGGCGGCUUCGGCUGUCACUUAUGGAUGGACCCGCGUCGCAUUAGCUAGUUGGUGAGGUAACGGCUCACCAAGGCAACGAUGCGUAGCCGACCUGAGAAGGUGUGCGGCCACACGGGGGUUGAGACACGGCCCAGACGCAUACGGGGGGCAGCAGUAAGGAAUCUUACGCAAUAAACGAAAGUCUGACGGAGCAACGCCGCGUGAGUGAUGAAGGCUUUCGGGUCGUAAAACUCUGUUGUUAGGGAAGAACAAGUGCUAGUUGAAUAAGCUGACACCUUGACGGUACCUAACCAGAAAGCCACGGCUAACUACGUGCCAGCCGCCGCCGUAA
rnacentral:rRNA from 1 species